rnacentral:rRNA from 1 species
UACGGAGGGAGCUAGCGUUGUUCGGAAUUACUGGGCGUAAAGCGCACGUAGGCGGCUACUCAAGUCAGAGGUGAAAGCCCAGGGCUCAACCUUGGAACUGCCUUUGAAACUAGGUAGCUAGAAUUCUGGAGAGGUCAGUGGAAUUCCGAGUGUAGAGGUGAAAUUCGUAGAUAUUCGGAAGAACACCAGUGGCGAAGGCGACUGACUGGACAGAUAUUGACGCUGAGGUGCGAAAGCGUGGGGAGCAAGCAGG